rnacentral:tRNA from 1 species
GGACCUGUAGUAUAAUGGCUCAAUAUGUUCGCCUCCAGAGCGAACGAUGGGGGUUCGAUUCCCUCCAGGUCCA